UACGGAGGGGGCAAGCGUUAUUCGGAAUUAUUGGGCGUAAAGGGCGCGUAGGCGGCCUGGCAAGUGGAAGGUGAAAUCCCUCGGCUUAACCGAGGAACUGCCCUCCAAACUGCUUGGCUUGAGUCCGGGAGAGGUGAGUGGAAUUCCCAGUGUAGCGGUGAAAUGCGUAGAUAUUGGGAGGAACACCAGUGGCGAAGGCGGCUCACUGGACCGGAACUGACGCUGAGGAGCGAAAGCGUGGGGAGCAAACAGG
rnacentral:rRNA from 1 species